rnacentral:lncRNA from 1 species
GCAGGUCAACCUUGAUAAUUACCGUGGCUAUCUGUGCCAAGGCGAGCAAGAGAAGCACAUGCAAACAGACAUGAAUCAGUUUUGGCUUCCAUGAACAAAAGUUUCAGCCUUCUUUUUCUUGUGUUGUGGAGCUUUUGACUCAGUACAAAAGUCAAAGAAUGUUGAAGAACAUCAUGUUGAAUCCAAAGUCCAAGAAAAUCUAAACCGAGCAGAGAUUUUUUAUCUAAAAGAAGAAGGGUCAAAUCCACAAGACCGAUCGAUAUCCUGUUUGUUUUUGGUCAUCCGGAUUGCAAGAUGUGAGUUAUCUAAUUAAUAAAGAACACAUCAAAGAAAAACACAGCAUGAAGUUGACCAACACAUAAACAUCCAUGGCUGACAAUAAAUUCAUCUUUAUCCUCACAAUUCGCUCACCACAGUGAACACAGAUUUUUAAGAGAGAGAGAGAGAGAGAGAGAGAGAGAUGAACACCUCGGCCAUCUCUCGAAAGUUUUGAGACCCCAAGCUGGUGGAGAAGCGGAUAACCAAAGGCUCCCUUUAUAGAGGCAGUCGACGGGCCACCAACACAAUGACUGAUCAAGAAUAAAGCUUUUCUUGUAUCUACCCUCGUGUGAUUCAUGGCCAUGUUUAAAGCACCCUUACCUUCGCGAGUGCCUCUUCCGGAGGUUGUUGGAACGUCACGAGUCACACGAUGAAGCCAUGUGUGGUGCGGCCGAGCGUUCUCAGUGUGCGUUGUAUAUGGCACUGUUUAUCGAGUCUGGAAAAUGAGCCAGUAAAGAUUCAGAGCCAAUGUACUUUGAGAGAGAUUAUUUUCGUGACCCAAACAAAUACUCUGGUUUUUCGGGUUGCAGAAGAACAAGUUUACCGUCCCAAGACUGAAAACUCGACAUACAGAAGAACAAGUACUCAAAACCAGUCUUUCGUUCUGUCUUCUUCCUGUGUUCCUUGUGUUUGGGGCGCUGUUUUAUCAAUGCCGGCACGGGGUACAGGGACAGGAUUCUUGUUGAGAUAACUCACUACUGUCUCCAUUUUGUUCAUGGCCUCGCGACCAUUAUCACUCGGUACUUGUUUGUUGAAUCACAGAAGGUACCGUUCCUUCGCGGCAGUGCAAUCAAUACUCAUAGCCGAGGAUGGAACCAAGAAAAGGUACCGUUCCUUCGUUCUCCAUUGGCCGCCACCAUCGACCGCUACUCACCACACGUCGUCGCCGCCAUCGUCAUCACGGUAGGUAAUGCAUCUCAAUCCCAACCUGCUGCGAGAUGAUCCUUCUUGUCCAUGUCGAGAUGGAUGGCAAAGUUUAUUUUAUGAAAGGUUUACGAUAAGAUGGUAUUUAGGAGAGAUAUUAUAAGUGAGAUGAUCCUUCUUGUCUAUGUUGACAGGUACAUUAGGAACGGCUAACAUCGUUCUUGACAAGGAAAAGGAGACGGACGGGUCUCCAACCGGUAUGUCGUCGUAAUCAAAUGUCAAGUCGAUGACGAAAGCAAUCAUUUAUGCUCGGACUUGUAAAUUUUCUACUUGUUAUAAUAUUUCGUAUUGUUGGGGGUUUAUAAAUCCAUUCUUUUUUGUGGCUUCGAAAUUAUCUAUUUUAUCUCUUCUUUUUUUUUGUUCGUAUAUUAAAUUUAGAUUACGAGUAUAAACAAAAAAUCGCUAUAUAAACAUCGUAUUUGCGACGAUUGAGAUAUAACAGCAUAAACAUAUAUCAUCAUAUAUUAUAUUACGUACAUUACGUUUACCUCAUUCCCCCUUCUUAUCCGUUAUCUAUUACCGUUACCAAAUGACAUCUUGCAACGAGAAUGACUAUAUGCAUAGGAAAUUACAUAAUAGAGCGGGAAUAAGAAGGGUCCUACUCGAGGACGAUCUUGUAGCCGUCACCCUUGUAACAGUGACGGCCGUCGGACAGCAGGCCGCAGGAGCAGCUGCGGCGGCACCCGCGGUGUGGCUCGUAGCAGGGGUACGGCUGGCAGCAACCGACGGGCCACGCCGAGGGCGGGAAAACACACACGUGGAGCUUCACCACCACCUCAGGCGGCGGCGGCGGUUUAUCGGGCUUUGGUUUUUCGUCCUUGGGAGGAGAAGAAGGUGGGGGUUUCGGCGGUUUGAUCUGGACGUCUUCGAUCGCCUUGCAGGCGAGGCAGCGAAGCUUCCUGAUGAAGCACUCAGGGUUGAAGGGGCCGGAUACUGUGACGGUGUUCUUCUUCUCGUCGUAGACGAUUGAUUCGAUGUUGAACCAGUCUCCGACGCAUCGACCAAUUUCCACACAAAUUUGUCAGCACCAAGAGAGAGAGAGAGAGAGAGAGACGGAAGCUUACUUUGGAGCUUGCACAGAGCUUUCUUGAUCUUCUUGGAGUUGGAGCAGCAGUGCAGGUCAACCUUGAUGAUUACCGUGGCUAUCUGUGUCAAGGCGAGCAAGAAAAGCACAGGCAAGCAGACAUGUAUCAGUUUUGGCUUCCAUGAACAAAAGUUUCAGCCUUCUUUUUCUUGUGUUGUGGAGCUUUUGACUCGGUAGAAAAGUCGAUGAAUGUUGAAGAACAUCAUGUUGAUUCCAAAGUCCAAGAAAAUCUAAACCAAGCAGAGAAAUUUUAUCUAAAAGAAGAAGGGUCAAAUCCACAAGACCGAUCUGUUUUUGCUCAUCCGGAUUGUAUGAUGUGAGUUAUCCAAUUAACAAAGAACACAUCAAAGAAAAACACAGCAUGAAGUUGACCAACACAUAAAGAUCCAUGGCUGACAAUAAAUUCAUCUUUAUCCAGACAA